rnacentral:rRNA from 1 species
UUACCAGACUCCUACGGGAGGCAGCAGUGGGGGAUAUUGCACAAUGGGGGGAACCCUGAUGCAGCGACGCCGCGUGGGUGAAGGAGCGUUUCGGCGCGUAAAGCCCUAUCGGCAGGGAAGAAGGAGGACGGUACCUGACUAAGAAGCCCCGGCUAACUACGUGCCAGCAGCCGCGGUAAUACGUAGGGGGCAAGCGUUAUCCGGAUUUAUUGGGUUUAAAGGGUGCGUAGGCGGAAUGCCAAGUCAGCGGUAAAAUCGCGGGGCUCACCCUCGCUCCGCCGUUGAAACUGGCGUUCUUGAGUGGGCGAGAAGUAUGCGGAAUGCGUGGUGUAGCGGUGAAAUGCAUAGAUAUCACGCAGAACUCCGAUUGCGAAGGCAGCAUACCGGCGCCCAACUGACGCUGAAGCACGAAAGCGUGGGUAUCGAACAGGAUUAGAUACCCCUGUACG